rnacentral:rRNA from 1 species
GAUGAACGCUGGCGGCGUGCCUAAUACAUGCAAGUCGAGCGGAAAGAUGAGGAGCUUGCUCCUCUGACGUUAGCGGCGGACGGGUGAGUAACACGUGGAUAACCUACCUAUAAGACUGGGAUAACUUCGGGAAACCGGAGCUAAUACCGGAUAAUAUAUUGAACCGCAUGGUUCAAUAGUGAAAGACGGCUUUGCUGUCACUUAUAGAUGGAUCCGCGCCGCAUUAGCUAGUUGGUAAGGUAACGGCUUACCAAGGCAACGAUGCGUAGCCGACCUGAGAGGGUGAUCGGCCACACUGGAACUGAGACACGGUCCAGACUCCUACGGGAGGCAGCAGUAGGGAAUCUUCCGCAAUGGGCGAAAGCCUGACGGAGCAACGCCGCGUGAGUGAUGAAGGUCUUCGGAUCGUAAAACUUUGUUAUUAGGGAAGAACAAAUGUGUAAGUAACUAUGCACGUCUUGACGGUACCUAAUCAGAAAGCCACGGCUAACUACGUG